rnacentral:rRNA from 2 species
GUGAAAAUACGGCUUCCGUCCGAUCAGCCGUAGUCAAGCACCAGAUAGCCCAAUUAGUAUUGUAGUGGGAGACCUUACCAGCAUCCUGGGUGCUGCCAUUC